rnacentral:lncRNA from 1 species
CUGAGAAUACUAUAGCUGAUUAACUUACUGUUUAGUUCUCUUAAAAAUAUCUACCUUCUUAUCAUUAUAAUUCUGGAAUGAAAAUCAGGAGGACUGCCUAGUACUGCCAAUUCUGACAGUGAUCUGGCUGGAGUGCAGUGGUGCACACGCCUCACACUGUGACACAGCGGGAGAGCCCAGAGCGACAGCUGUUGGAAUGACUGCACUCUUCCUGCUCAAGUCUGACCUUUCCAAGGUAAUGGUGCUCAGAAAAAG